rnacentral:misc_RNA from 1 species
GAAGGUUUGUCCGCCUUGUAAAGAUUCCAGAACUGUGCUGUUUGCAAAUAUAUAUUUCCCUCACUUGAAAUAGCCAUUGCAGCUUUCAGACCUUGUUUUAGUUUAACCUUCUCCAUUGAUUCCAUAUAUUGGUCUACGUAUUUACCAACUUUUUCAGCCAAGCCCAAUGUUAAUUCAUGAGAGUCCACGUCAAGAGCAUCAGGAAUAAUGGAACCAUAACCCUGCCCUAAAGGUUUAGCAAUGAAGCUCAAAACUCGAUGAAUGAAGUUGCCCAAAUUGUUCAGCAACUCGCCAUUAAGUUUUGCUUGUAAAUCAGCCCAUGUAAAUAAUGUAUCUGAAACCUCAGGCCUAUUGGCUAAUAAGUAAUAUCUCCAUACUUCUACAGGAAUAUUUGUAUCUUUUGCAUCAUUACCAAAAACUCCUAUGCCCUUACUUUUAGAAAAUUUUCCUGCUUCAUAGUUUAAAUAUUCAGUAACACUAAUGGUUUUCAUCAAGGUCCAGUCUUCUCCAGUUCCAAGAAGAGUAGAAGGAAACAUAACCGUGUGGAAAGGCACAUUAUCCUUUC